rnacentral:rRNA from 1 species
GACGAACGCUGGCGGCGUGCUUAACACAUGCAAGUCGAACGGAAAGGCCCUGCUUUUUUGUUGUUCUCUAGUGGCGAACGGGUGGGUAACACGUGAGUAGCCUGCCCUUGACUUUGGGAUAACAUCAGGAAACUGGGGCUAAUACCGGAUAGUAGCUCCUGCUGCAUGGUGGGGGGUGGAAAGUUUCGGCGGGUGGGGAUGGACGCGCGGCUUAUCAUAUUGUUUGUGGGGUAGUGGUUUACCAAGGCUUUGACGGGUAGCCGGCCUGUGAGGGUGGACGGGCACAUGGGGCCUGCGGUACGGACCAGAGUCCUACGGGGGGCAGCAGUGGGGAACCUUGCGCAAUGGGGGGAAGCCUGAUGAAGCAACGCCGCGUGCGGGAUGACGGCCUUCGGGUUGUAAACCGCUUUCGCCUGUGACGAAGCGUGAGUGACGGUAAUGGGUAAAGAAGCACCGGCUAACUACGUG